rnacentral:rRNA from 1 species
GCACGUAGUUAGCCGGUGCUUAUUCUUACGGUACCGUCAUGGACCCCCUUUAUUAGAAGGAGUCUUUUCGUUCCGUACAAAAGCAGUUUACAACCCGAAGGCCUUCAUCCUGCACGCGGCAUGGCUGGAUCAGGCUUGCGCCCAUUGUCCAAAAUUCCCCA